rnacentral:rRNA from 1 species
AGCUCCAAUAGCGUAUAUUAAAGUUGUUGCAGUUAAAAAGCUCGUAGUUGGAUUUGUGGUGUGUCCAGUCGGCCUUCGCUUUUAGUGACAGCGCUGCACUGGUCUGCCAUGUUUGGGUGGAAUCUGUGUGGCAUUAGGUUGUCGUGCAGGGGAUGCCCAUCGUUUACUGUGAAAAAAUUAGAGUGUUCAAAGCAGGCUUAUGCCGUUGAAUAUAUUAGCAUGGAAUAAUAAUAUAGGACCUUGGUACUAUUUUGUUGGUUUGCGCACUAAGGUAAUGAUUAAGAGGGACAGUUGGGGGUAUUUGUAUUCCAUUGUCAGAGGUGAAAUUCUUGGAUUUUUGGAAGACAAACUACUGCGAAAGCAUUUACCAAGGAUGUUUUCAUUAAUCAAGAACGAAAGU